UAAGUAGGGGGCAAGCGUUGUCCGGCAUUACUGGGUGUAAAGGGCGUGUAGGCGACCCCUUAAGUUGAAUGUGAAAUCUCCCGGCUCAACUGGGAGGAGUCAUUCAAUACUGAGGGGAUAUGAGGACAGAAGAGGGAAGUGGAAUUCCCGGUGUAGCGGUAAAAUGCGUAGAUAUCGGGAGGAACACCAGUGGCGAAGGCGGCUUCCUGGUCUGUCCAUGAAGCGGAUGCGCGAAAGCCAGGGGAGCACACGGGAUUCGAUAACACCGUAGUCC
rnacentral:rRNA from 1 species